rnacentral:rRNA from 1 species
CGGGAGGCAGCAGUGGGGAAUAUUGGACAAUGGGCGCAAGCCUGAUCCAGCCAUGCCGCGUGAGUGAUGAAGGCCUUAGGGUUGUAAAGCUCUUUCACCGGAGAAGAUAAUGACGGUAUCCGGAGAAGAAGCCCCGGCUAACUUCGUGCCAGCAGCCGCGGUAAUACGAAGGGGGCUAG